rnacentral:rRNA from 1 species
AGCCAUGCGAGUCAUUGUAGCAUACAAGGCAGACGGCUCAGUAACGCGUAGUNAANCNACCCUAUGGACGGGAAUAACCUCGGGAAACUGAGAAUAAUACCCGAUAGAUCUGGGCUGCUGGAAUGCAUUCAGAUUUAAAACUCCGGUGCCUAAGGAUGGGUCUGCNGCCUAUCAGGUUGUAGUGGGUGUAGCGUACCUACUAGCCUACNACGGGNACNGGUUGUGAGAGCAAGAGCCCGGAAAUGGAUUCUGAGACACGAAUCCCGGNCCUACGGGGUGCAACAGGGGCAAAAACUUUACAAUGCCGGCAACGGCGAUAAGGGGACCUCGAGUGCCAUGUUACAAAUCUGGCUGUCGCGAUGCCUAAAAAGCAUUGCAUAACAAGGGCCGGGCAAGACCGGUGCCAGCCGCCGCGGUAACACCGGCGGCUCGAGUGGUAACCGUUAUUAUUGGGUCUAAAGGGUCUGUAGCCGGCCGGGUAAGUCUCUUGGGAAAUCCAGNANCUUAACUGUUGGGCUUUCNGGAGAUACUGCCUGGCUCGAGGCCGGGAGAGGUGAGAGGUACUUCAUGGGUAGGGGUGAAAUCUUGUAAUCCUUGAAUGACCACCAGUGGCGAAGG